AAUAUUGGACAAUGGGGGCAACCCUGAUCCAGCCAUGCCGCGUGUGUGAAGAAGGUCUUCGGAUUGUAAAGCACUUUAAGUUGGGAGGAAGGGCUUUAGGUUAAUCACCUGAAGUUUUGACGUUACCAACAGAAGAAGCACCGGCUAACCCUGUGCCUGCAGCCGCGGUAGUACAGAGGGAGAAAGCGUUAAUCGGAAUUACUGGGCGUAAAGCGCGCGUAGGUGGUUCAGUAAGAUGGGUGUGAAAUCCCCGGGCUUAACCUGGGAACUGCUUUCAUAACUGCUGAGCUAGAGUACGGUAGAGGGUAGUGGAAUUUCCUGUGUAGCGGUGAAAUGCGUAGAUAUAGGAAGGAACACCAGUGGCGAAGGCGACUACCUGGACUGAUACUGACACUGAGGUGCGAAAGCGUGGGGAGCAAAC
rnacentral:rRNA from 1 species